GGGUUUGAUCCUGGCUCAGAACGAACGCUGGCGGCGUGGCUAAGACAUGCAAGUCGAACGGACCAUUAAUUCAUUAGUGGUUAGUGGCGAAAGGGUUAGUAACAGGUGGGUAACGUACCCCGUGCUUCGGGAUAGCGUCAGUUGCUUCGGCAACUUUCCGAAAGGGGCGAUAAUACCGAAUAAAAUCAAAAGUCGAUAGGCUUUUGAUCAAAGAUUUAUCGGCACAGGAGCGGCCUGCCUCCUAUCAGCUUGUUGGUGAGGUAAUGGCUCACCAAGGCAUCGACGGGUAGCGGGACGGAGAGGUUGACCCGCAACAUCGGGACUGAGACGCUGCCCGGACCUCCACGGAGGGCUGCAGUAACGAAUAUUGUGCAAUGGGCGAAAGCCUGACACAGCGACGCCGCGUGUAGGAGGAAGUCUUUCGGGAUGUAAACUACUGUCAGGGGGAAGAAAGUGUGCUUCGGCACAUUGAUCUAACCCAGAGGAAGUCACGGCUAACUUCGUGCCAGCAGCCGCGGUAAGACGAAGGUGGCUAGCGUUGUUCGGUAUUACUGGGCUUAAAGCGUGUGUAGGCGGAAAAGUAAGCGUUUUGUGAAAGCCCCCGGCUUAACCGGGGAAUUGCGUGACGAACUGCUUUUCUUGAGGCAAGUAGGGGUGCAUGGAACUCUUGGUGGAGCGGUGGAAUGCGUAGAUAUCAAGAGGAACGCCAGUGGAAAAUCGGUGCACUGGGCUUGUCCUGACGCUGAGACACGAAAGCAUGGGUAGCGAACGGGAUUAGAUACCCCGGUAGUCCAUGCUGUAAACGAUGCCUACUGGGUUGUGGGGGUUCUGACACUCGCACAGCCGAAGCAAAAGUGCUAAGUAGGCCGCCUGGGGAGUACGGUCGCAAGGCUAAAACUCAAAGGAAUUGACGGGGGCUCACACAAGCGGUGGAGCAUGUGGAUUAAUUCGAAACAACGCGCAGAACCUUACCUGGGUUUGACAUGCUUGGAUGCCUUUCCUGAAAGGGAGUAGGCUGCUCUUCGGAGUGAAACUUGCACAGGUGCUGCAUGGCUGUCGUCAGCUCGUGUCGUGAGAUGUCGGGUUAAGUCCUUUAACGAGCGAAACCCUUACCAUUAGUUACCAGCGGGUCAUGCCGGGGACUCUAGUGGGACUGCCGGUGUUAAACCGGAGGAAGGCGGGGACGACGUCAAGUCAUCAUGGCCUUUAUGCCCAGGGCCUCACACGUGCUACAAUGGCGAUCGCAGAGCGACGCGAGACCGCGAGGUGGAGCAAAUCGCAAAAAGGUCGCCCCAGUUCGGAUUGCAGGCUGGCAACUCGCCUGCAUGAAGUUGGAAUCGCUAGUAAUCGCGUAUCAGCUAUGACGCGGUGAAUAUGUUCCUGAGCCUUGUACACACCGCUCGUCAAGUGUUGGAAGUUGGGAGUACCCGAAGUCGGUUUGCUAACCCGCAAGGGAAGCGGCUGCCGACGGUAAGCCCGAUGACUGGCACUAAGUCGUAACAAGGUA
rnacentral:rRNA from 1 species